rnacentral:rRNA from 1 species
GUACAGUGGUAUUGUUCUUUACCAACCGAGUGGAGAUGUGUGGGGUUUAGGCCCAGGGGUAUUAUUGGUGCUUAGGCACUGGUGAUUACCCUGAGCAGUAUUGUUUUAAAAUGGAUUGAACGAGAGAGUUUGAUCCUGGCUCAGAUUGAACGCUGGCGGCAUGCCUAACACAUGCAAGUCGAACGGUAGCAGGCCUUCGGGUGCUGACGAGUGGCGGACGGGUGAGUAAUGCGUAGGAAUCUGUCUUUUAGUGGGGGACAACCCAGGGAAACUUGGGCUAAUACCGCAUGAGCCCUGAGGGGGAAAGCGGGGGAUCUUCGGACCUCGCGGCUAAGAGAAGAGCCUACGUCUGAUUAGCUAGUUGG